UAGAAGACUUUACAGAAGCAGAAUAAGAAACCACACUAUUAACAGUGCAUUGUCCAGAACGUGUGGGUGUACCAUACGCUGUGGAGGCCGACGGCAUGUGAGGAUGAGUCUCAAAGGCUGCAGAGAGACAGGCAUGCUUGUAAAUGAGGAAAGUAGUGCCACAGCUGAGACGCCUGAUAGAGCCGGGCCGAGGUGGGCUUGAACUGUGACAGAGAACGUGCCACUGUUUUCUGAGCCUCGGCCUCCUCCUGGGUAAAGAACUGAGCGUCAGGGGACGAGGCGGCUACCCAGACCAGCGGGGACUCCCAUGGGGCUGCAACCCAGGGCUUCUCUUCACCCACAGCAGACUCUGUCUCCUACUCUGCGCCCACCAUGGAUUGAGACUCCGGGAAUAUAUGGAAAUGGCUCCCCCCGAAGAAGAUGUAACCAUGAAGGAGCUGGGCGAGCCACAGAAGAGCUUUCACCUCGGGGAAAGGAGCAAAGUUGUGCCCCGAAUGAUCACUCCGUUGGCUGGCGAGAGUGGCUUGUCUCCCAGAAGCAGAGAGAUCCCCCUGGGGGGGUCUUUGCAGUGCGCCCCCAGGAGCCUUCAGUGAGAGGUAUGGCUUCCAGCGGGGCCUGAAGGAUUUCAAGAGGAGGAAGGAGGAGAGGGGAUGGGGAGGGUGUGUGCGGGAGGGGACAAACUGAGCUCUCAUGGGGCCAUGAGAUGGUUCGUUUGCGGAGUGUAGAGUUCCUUCAAUCAGGGACAAACUCUUCAAACAAAAUCACGUCAGAACUUCCACAAGGAACCGUCUAAAAGUGGGGUGGCUCUCCCUGGGGCUGGGGAAGGGGCCCAAAGCCAAGCCCU
rnacentral:lncRNA from 1 species